AUCUCUCCCUCUGCCCCGGUGCGCGCAUCGGGGCUGCGGGUGCGUUCGAUAAGUCAUAACGACUCUCGGCAACGGAUAUCUCGGCUCUCGCAUCGAUGAAGAACGUAGCGAAAUGCGAUACGUGGUGUGAAUUGCAGGAUCCCGUGAACCAUCGAGUUUUUGAACGCAAGUUGCGCCCGAAGCCAUUAGGCCAAGGGCACGUCUGCCUGGGCGUCACGCA
rnacentral:rRNA from 3 species